rnacentral:lncRNA from 1 species
UUGGAUCUACUUUUUGAUUAUUAAUAGCCCUUGGAUUAAACACUAUUCCACCUACCACCACCUACCACCAUCAUCUCAACCUCACAUCUCUCCAUCCAAGGGCUAAAAACACACAAGUAUCACCCCCAUGAUACUUUUACAAAUAUUCUAGCCCUACUCUAUAUAUAUAUAUAUAUAUAUAUAUAAGUUUAAUUUUAUAUAAAUCCCUGCAAACAUAGUGAAUUAUAAAUAUAUCUCUACAAAGUUCAACUUUUAUAUUUUGUUUCUGUAAAAAUUUUAAUAUUUUUAAAUAUAAAUCUACCGUUAGAAUCCGUUUGGAAAACUUUAGUUAACCAUAAGUUAAAUACUUAACUCUGAUUAAUUUAUGAGAUAAAUUGACAUUUUUGUCCCUCUUAUAUUAUACUGUUGUGACUUUUGGAGGGAGGCGUAUUUGUGAUGGCAAAAUUGACAUUUUACUUAAAAUAUAAAACAGUUCUACAACGGUAACAAGUUAGAUGGACAUAUUUGAAAAUAUUAAGAUAUUUAGAAAAACAACAUAUGAAAGUUGAAUUUUAAAGAGAUAUAUUUAUAAUUUACUAUAUUUGUAGGGAUCUGUAUAAAAUUAACUCUUAUAAAAGCAUAUACUUUCUUAACUACUUUUA